AGCGACGCACCGCCGGCCUAAGCACAAGGGACUCCUGGAGCUCUGCCCAUUCUGGAGGUGAACGGGGCGAUUUCAGGCUGCCACCAUCCGUGCUGCUCGCUGGGAAGACCAUGUUGAUGCCAUCAGCAGAAACCAUUAUUCGCAGGGAGGAGCACUGCCUCCAUCAGCAUGAGGAGUGUGGCAUCUCCGACAGAUCCAUCUUCUCUAUGUUUAGAAGGUGUUUGAUGUAAAUCCUAGCUAAGAUUAGUGCAUCAGGAACAAGAAAGUUUGAGAAAAAAGGUACGUGUUCCUGUGACUUACAAAGGUUUUCGACAACGAGGGUGGUGAUAAGAUCAGAAGUUUUUGUGUACUGGCCUAUUGAAGUAAUUAUCAUCUUUCUUUAAUUCCAAUAUCUUUCUGUGAUCUGCAGCUUUUGUUUGCUAGACACUUCGCCAAUUCAGCUGCUAUGUAAACCGUUUUUGGCCAAGGGAAUAUAAUGAAAAUAUGUGAAAUUAUGGUAUUCAUCCUCUUUUUAUAUUCUCUACAUUUGUGCAAUUUUUAGACCUUUCAGAUGAUAAUGUGGUGGGCAGCCAAAACCGGAAUUAAUUUUUCAAUUUUAAAUAAUAGUUAAAUCUUGAUGAAUGUUUAAGGACGGGAACUUAUGGUUGUUCUGAUAGGAAAGGCCGACACAACUUCCACUUGAAUAUGAGCUCUAGGUGCUAAUAUAUUCAUUUUAGUGCUUUGUCAUGAUUCUACCUGUUUCACCUACAGCUCGCCCCCUCUGUCUGUCUGUGCGAAUAUGUUGCAUCGUACUAAUUCACCCUUUCCUAGAUUAAGAUCGAGCUACCCAGCUAUCCAAGAAAUCAAGGCCAGCCUACUCCUUUUCUUCUUUCUUUUAGCAGCACUGGCUACAGAUUUACUUUUACCAAAUAGUUCUUCGGGUCUCGCCAGUGUUGUUGAGUCAGCGUUCCGGUUCAGGCCGAGAACUUCACAGGUUUCUCGCGGUGCUUGCAUUCGCUAGCAAAUAAAAUGUAGAACUAUUGUUUUGUUUUGAGUUGUACCUCUGGUUGCUGUAAAUCAUAUGUUCUAAAAGAGAGCAAAUGUAUCAGACCUGAACCACAGUGAAAUAUCUAGGAGCAGAUUUAUAGUCUCUCGAAACAUACUCUGCUACAUAUCUAAAUUCCAAGAAGCUGAUAACAUAUUCAGCUGAAAUUUAUUGUAAAACAUAAAAAUUCUCUACUGGCUUUCUUUACGUGCUUAGCCUUGCUUGGUCCCUUGCUAUUGGUGAUAACAUAUUCAGCUGAAAUUUAUUGUAUUACAUUCUUUUGUCUUUUGUGCUACUCAUAUGCCUACACAAAAGGCUGGACACAUGUUGUGUCUGUUAUUUCCUACAUGUCGGCUAUAAUUAUAGACAUUAGAUCGGAACAACUGUCGACUGCUGGGUUUUCCUUUUAUCCAAAGUUCACAUAGCUCAUAAAUAAUUCAGAUUCCUAACCUGGACUUUAUAGAGUUGUAUGUAUCCAGCUAAUAAUCUAUUUUCACAUGGAGUUAUCUACAAUCCAAAUUUCUAACAUUGUUUUUGUAGCUUCAUGUGUCUGAAUUAUCUAUCAGCUGUUGCUUCAAUUUAUGUUCAAUAUUUAUUUCCAAAGUAUCAUGCUUCCCAGUUUCUUCCGCCAGCCUUGCUGGUUCUCUGAUUUGGCUCUAGCGUCUUGAUGAAGACUGUCAAAAUCCCUACUACCAUGUUCGUGGCUGCGGUUGAUGAUGUCCCUGCACCCAGCUGCUUUUUGCAAGACAACGAUUUCAUAGUAAAGG